rnacentral:lncRNA from 1 species
AGCCCAAAGAACAAUGGGCCUUUUAUUGUGCAUUGUGCAUUGUGAUGUAUCUCACCAUCAGUCUCCUUCAUUGGAGACACCAAUCUGCAAAGGAAGAGAUCAAUAUAAGCUGCGGAAUCUCAUGAGUCUGUUGAAAAUUCCAUACUUUCAGGGAGAAUUCCAUAUCAUAGCCCAUGUGAGGUGGUAAGGUCAGAAGCCACCCUUCCUCUGCAGCCCAAAGAUCAAUGGGCCUUUUUUGUGCAUUGUGAUGUAUCUCACCAUCAAUCUCCCUCAUUAUCUUGGACACCAAUCUGCAAAGGAAGAGAUCAAUAUAAGCUGUGGAAUCUCAUGAAUGAGUCUGUUGAAGAUUCCAUAUUUUCAGAGAUAAUUCCAGAUCAUAGCACAGGUGAGGUCAAAAGCCAUCUCAAGACACAGCUUUCUGAAUUCAGAGAGCAUCUCCAAAUGCCUACAUCAUGCACAAAACAAAAGGAACAACUGAGAGGUGCCUUCAUUAUCACACAAGUCAAACAAUGUUGAUUCCUAUUUAACAACUACUCACCAAUUCCUUGCUUUCUUGAUGCAUGGUCCUCUCCAGACGGGGUUCUCCAUGUCCUCUUUAUAGAAGAAACACCCGCACGUAUGAAUAGGCAGGUGACCAAAAGUCAAUGGUAUCAGAUGCCAAUUUACCUCAGAAGGAACCAGAGGUCCAAAGAUUUUCCUCACUAGGUAAUACAGAAGCUGCCCACCCCGAAUAUAAGAGCCUGGCUACAGCCCCAGAGUCAUUGCUUCCUUCCUCCACUUCUACAUGACCUGGAGCUUGGACCUAAAAAGCACGGGCAUCCUCUGCGACAUCUCCCAGCUGAUGGUGCCUGUUGGGAGGCAUGGUCACAAAUGGAAGAGGUUGAGCUCAUACAGUCUUGCUCUAUUGAGUCACUCCACUUCAGUGUCCUGGGCCAUGGUUUCUGAGCUGAGGAUUCCUAGCCAAAGACAGAGUCCCAACAGUAAUCCAGCAUAUACGUACCUUGCUGUAAGGUCCAUUAAACUCAGUGGACAUUACCUGUGUGGGGUUGGACAAUCACUUGAGACCCCAAGGGCAACUGAGCCAGGAGGAAGGACGGUGGGCCUUUUUAUAAUGGCUUAAACUAUGACCCAAGUGGAUGUGGACCAUUGUGAGGUGGGGGGGGGAGGGUGACAUCAUUGGCUGCCUUCCUCAUGAGGCUGAGAAAUAUCAGGACUGAACCAUUUUUUGGCAACUAUAUAUGGUCAAAAGGUGGGAAAGCCAAGCAGAUUGGGAUAAUUCAAAGUU